CGCGGUUCGUUGGUCUAGGGGUAUGAUUCUCGCUUUGGGGGCGAGAGGACCCUGGUUCAAAUCCCAGAGGAGCCCCUUUUCCUUCUCUUUUUUCCCCUUUCGCAUUUUCAGCAAGAACGGGAGACUAGGAAGGCGAAGGGAGGCUGCUGUUGGCAGAGCCUCAGUGGGGACCUCCCGGGGUCCCGGGACGCAGACGGACGGGCCUGAAUCGCUCGCCUUGCAGUCGGUCCGUCACCCUGAAAUGGGAUCCAGCGCUGCCAACUGCGGGUUCGAGAGUAUGGCGGCUCCAGUCCCAGACUUCAGGAAACCGGAGUCUCCUCCUAGCUCUGCUCUCUGCUGGGUCCCCACCUCUCGCCACGAGGACGCCACGAAGGCCACAGAGAGAAGCCGGAAGUAA
rnacentral:lncRNA from 1 species